ACGAACGCUGGCGGUGUGCUUAACACAUGCAAGUCGAACGGAAAGGCCCUGCUUUUGUGGGGUGCUCGAGUGGCGAACGGGUGAGUAACACGUGAGUAACCUGCCCUUGACUUUGGGAUAACUUCAGGAAACUGGGGCUAAUACCGGAUAGGAGCUCCUGCUGCAUGGUGGGGGUUGGAAAGUUUCGGCGGUUGGGGAUGGACUCGCGGCUUAUCAGCUUGUUGGUGGGGUAGUGGCUUACCAAGGCUUUGACGGGUAGCCGGCCUGAGAGGGUGACCGGCCACAUUGUGACUGAGAUACGGCCCAGACUCCUACGGGAGGCAGCAGUGGGGAAUAUUGCACAAUGGGCGGAAGCCUGAUGCAGCAACGCCGCGUGCGGGAUGACGGCCUUCGGGUUGUAAACCGCUUUCGCCUGUGACGAAGCGUGAGUGACGGUAAUGGGUAAAGAAGCACCGGCUAACUACGUG
rnacentral:rRNA from 1 species